UACAGAGGGUGCGAGCGUUAAUCGGAAUUACUGGGCGUAAAGCGUGCGUAGACGGUAGCGUAAGUCAGAUGUGAAAGCCCCGGGCUCAACCUGGGAACUGCAUUUGAGACUGCUCUGCUCGGGUGCGGAAGAGGGAAGCGGAAUUUCCGGUGUAGCGGUGAAAUGCGUAGAUAUCGGAAGGAACACCAGUGGCGAAGGCGAGUUUCUGGACAGCUACUGACGCUGAGGCACGAAGGCCAGGGGAGCAAACGGG
rnacentral:rRNA from 1 species